UCAGGUGGCCGCAGAGAAUAGGCCCAAGCGACUGUUUACCAAAAACAUAGGUCUCUGCGAAGUCGCAAGACGAUGUAUAGGAGCUGACGCCUGCCCGGUGCUGGAAGGUUAAGGGGAUCUGUUAGAGCAAUCGAAGCAGUGAACUUAAGCCCCAGUAAACGGCGGCCGUAACUAGAACGGUCCUAAGGUAGCGAAAUUCCUUGUCGGGUAAGUUCCGACCCGCACGAAAGGCGUAACGAUUUGGGCACUGUCUCAACAACAGACUCGGUGAAAUUGUAAUUCCGGUGAAGAUGCCGGAUACCUGCGACAGGACGGAAAGACCCCAUGGAGCUUUACUGUAGCUUGACAUUGGGUCU
rnacentral:rRNA from 1 species